rnacentral:rRNA from 1 species
GACGAACGCUGGCGGCGUGCUUAACACAUGCAAGUCGAACGGAAAGGCCCUGCUUGCAGGGUGCUCGAGUGGCGAACGGGUGAGUAACACGUGGGUGAUCUGCCCCUUACUUUGGGAUAAGCCUGGGAAACUGGGUCUAAUACUGGAUAGGACCAUGCUGUAGGUGGUGUGGUGGAGAGAUUAGCUUCGGUAAGGGAUGAGCUCGCGGCCUAUCAGCUUGUUGGUGGGGUAAUGGCCUACCAAGGCGUCGACGGGUAGCCGGCCUGAGAGGGUGGGCGGCCACAUUGGGACUGAGAGACGGGGCAGACUCCUACGGGAGGCAGCAGUGGGGAAAAUUGUGCAAUGGGGGCAAGCCUGAUGCAGCGACGCCGCGUGGGGGAUGACGGCCUUCGGGUUGUAAACUCCUUUCAGCCAUGACGAAGCGCUUGUGGUGACGGUAGUGGUAGAAGAAGCACCGGCUAACUACGUG